UGCACGGUGAGGAAGAACUGUACUGUGCGGAUGACCGAACACGGGAACAGGUUGCCCAAAGAGACUGUGGAGUCUCCCUCACUAGAGGAGUCAGAACGGGCAGAGGACAGCAACUGCCAUCAUGGCUACUGAGGUGAAGGGUCAUGAAAGUGCCAUGCUGUCAGUCCCCCUACAUGGGACCUCAAAGGUGUGACUCCUCAUGCAAGUGUCCUGCACCUGCUGUUGAUGAUCUGAUGCUGUGAGAAAGUCCCACAAGUGGCUGCUGCUCACCCUCCUCCACUUAAUGAAGUCUGGACUCAACCAACAAUGGGAAAUGAGAGAAAAUCAUACACUUCUAGAAUCCUUAUAGAAAUAGCAGACAACAAUUCAUGAUUCUGUGACCUCCGUUCACAGGCUUAUUCACAAGGCUCUUCACAGGUCUGUUAAUCUCUUAAUAUAUUAGCCCUUGUCCUUUAGUUAGCUUUUCUAUUUCUAUGAUGUGCAUGCCUUCUAUUAAAGAUUUUCUCUCCCAG